rnacentral:rRNA from 1 species
GACGAACGCUGGCGGCGUGCUUAACACAUGCAGGUCGAACGGAAAGGCCCUGCUUUUGUGGGGUGCUCGAGUGGCGAACGGGUGAGUAACACGUGAGUAACCUGCCCUUGACUUUGGGAUAACUUCAGGAAACUGGGGCUAAUACCGGAUAGGAGCUCCUGCUGCAUGGUGGGGGUUGGAAAGUUUCGGCGGUUGGGGAUGGACUCGCGGCUUAUCAGCUUGUUGGUGGGGUAGUGGCUUACCAAGGCUUUGACGGGUAGCCGGCCUGAGAGGGUGACCGGCCACAUUGGGACUGAGAUACGGCCCAGACUCCUACGGGAGGCAGCAGUGGGGAAUAUUGCACAAUGGGCGGAAGCCUGAUGCAGCAACGCCGCGUGCGGGAGGACGGCCUUCGGGUUGUAAACCGCUUUCGCCUGUGACGAAGCGUGAGUGACGGUAAUGGGUAAAGAAGCACCGGCUAACUACGU